UACGUAGGGUGCAAGCGUUGUCCGGAAUUAUUGGGCGUAAAGAGCUCGUAGGCGGUUUGUUGCGUCGGCUGUGAAAUCCCGAGGCUCAACCUCGGGUCUGCAGUCGAUACGAGCAAACUAGAGUGUUGCAGGGGAGACUGGAAUUCCAGGUGUAGCGGUGAAAUGCGCAGAUAUCAGGAGGAACACCGGUGGCGAAGGCAGCUCGCUGGGACGGUACUGACGCUAAGGCGCGAAAGCGUGGGGAGCGAACAGG
rnacentral:rRNA from 1 species